AACGAACGCUGGCGGCGUGGAUUAGGCAUGCAAGUCGAACGAGAAAAGUUUCUUCGGAAACUGAGUACAGUGGCAAACGGGUGAGUAGCGCGUGAGAAACCUACCUUUCAGUUGGGGACAACACUUCUAACGAGGUGCUAAUACCGAAUACCAUCAUUCCCCCGCAUGAGGGAGUGAUGAAAGGACGGCCUCUGCUUGCAAGCUGUCGCUGAAAGAAUGGUCUCGCGUCCCAUUAGCUAGUUGGUGGGGUAAGUGGCCCACCAAGGCGAUGAUGGGUAGCCGGCCUUAGCGGGUGUCCGGCCACACUGGGACUGAGAUACGGCCCAGACUCCUACGGGUGGCUG
rnacentral:rRNA from 1 species